rnacentral:rRNA from 1 species
AGAGCACAGGGUGGAUGCCUAGGCACUGAGAGCCGAUGAAGGACGUGAUAAGCUGCGAAAAGCCACGGGGAGGAGCAAAUAUCCUUUGAGCCGUGGAUAUCCGAAUGGGGGAACCCACUUAAGUAAACCUUAAGUACUGACAAGCCAAUACAUAACUUGCCAGAGGGAACCCGGGGAACUGAAACAUCUAAGUACCCGGAGGAAGAGAAAGAAACAUCGAUUUCCUUAGUAGCGGCGAGCGAAAGGGAAAGAGCCCAAACCGAGAGAUUUAUCUUUCGGGGUUAGGACUGCAUAAUUGAUCUGCGAUUGAUAGGAGAAUGGUCUGGGAAGUCCAGCAGGAAAGCGUGAAAGCCGCGUAUCCGAAAUUGAAAGCAGCAAGGCAGUAUCCAGAGUACCACGAGACACGAGGAACCUUGUGGGAAUGAGCGGAGACCACUCCGUAAGGCUAAAUACUACUCAGUGACCGAUAGCGCAUAGUACUGUGAAGGAAAGGUGAAAAGGACCCCGGGAGGGGAGUGAAAGAGAACCUGAAACCCUGUGUUUACAAGCUGUCGGAGCACGAUAAGUGCGACGGCGUACUUUUUGUAGAACGGUCCGGCGAGUUAUGAUACGCGGUAAGGUUAAGGACUUAAGGUCCGGAGCCGAAGCGAAAGCGAGUGUUAAGAGCACGAGGAAUCACGUAUCAUAGACCCGAAACCGGGUGAUCUAUCCAUGUCCAGGAUGAAGCUGCCGUAAGAGGUAGUGGAGGUCCGAACACACAUCCGUUGAAAAGGGUGGUGAUGAGGUGUGGAUAGGGGAGAAAUUCCAAUCGAACCCGGAGAUAGCUGGUUCUCCUCGAAAUAGCUUUAGGGCUAGCCUUCAGUUAGUCUGCCGCAGGUAGAGCACUGAAUUUCCUAGGGGGCGUCAAAGCCUACCGAAGAAUAUCAAACUGCGAAUGGCGGACAGAUGAUGCUGGGGAGUCAGACUGCACGAGAUAAGUUGGGUGGUCAAAAGGGAAAGAGCCCAGACCUACAGCUAAGGUCCCAAAGUGCGUGUUAAGUGGAAAAGGAUGUGGGAUUUCGAAGACAACUAGGAUGUUGGCUCAGAAGCAGCCACACAUUAAAAGAGUGCGUAAUAGCUCACUAGUCGAGAGGUCCUGCGCCGAAAAUGUCCGGGGCUGAAACACGACACCGAAGCUUAGGAACAAAGAAACCAAGGUUUCUAUAUGUUGGUAGAGGAGCAUUGUUAGCGGAACGAAGCCAUACCGGAAGGAGUGGUGGACUGCUAAGAAGAGAGAAUGCCGGAAUGAGUAGCGAGAUUGAAGUGAGAAUCUUCAAGGCCGAAUAUCUAAGGUUUCCAGGGUAAAGCUGAUCUGCCCUGGGUAAGUCGGGGCCUAAGGCGAGGUCGAAAGACGUAGCCGAUGGACAACAGGUUGAAAUUCCUGUACUGCGAUAUAUCAGAAAUGUGGGGACACAGAAGGAAAGUGUGAGCCGGGAAAGGAAAGACCGGUGCAAGCACAGGAGGAGAGAUACAGGCAAAUCCGUAUUUCAAUCCAAUGGUGUUACGCGGAGCGAACAAAAGUAGCGAAGCACACAGACCAUCUGUCGAGAAAAGCCGCUAUUGUGUAUAUUGUACCCGUACCGUAAACCGACACAGGUGGAUGAGGAGAGAAUCCUAAGGCCGGCGGGAGAAGCAUUGUUAAGGAACUCGGCAAAAUGACCCCGUAACUUCGGGAGAAGGGGUGCUCACGCAAGUGAGCCGCAGAGAACUGGCCCAAGCAACUGUUUAGCAAAAACACAGGUCUAUGCAAAACCGAAAGGUGAGGUAUAUGGGCUGACGCCUGCCCGGUGCUGGAAGGUUAAGAGGAGAUGUUAGAGCAAUCGAAGCAUUGAAUUUAAGCCCCAGUAAACGGCGGCCGUAACUAUAACGGUCCUAAGGUAGCGAAAUUCCUUGUCGGGUAAGUUCCGACCCGCACGAAAGGCGUAAUGAUUUGGGCACUGUCUCGACAAUGCACCCGGUGAAAUUGAAAUACCAGUGAAGAUGCUGGUUACCUGCGCCAGGACGGAAAGACCCCAUGGAGCUUUACUCUAGCUUGAUACUGGGAUUCGGUAUUGCAUGUACAGGAUAGGUGGGAGACUAAGAGGUGAUGACGCCAGUUGUCACGGAGUCGAUGUUGGGAUACCACCCCUGCAGUACUGGGUUUCUAACCUGCGGCCGUGACCCGGCCGGGGGACAAUGUCUGGUGGGGAGUUUGACUGGGGC